rnacentral:tRNA from 1 species
GUGUCCUUAGCUCAGUUGGUUUAGAGCGCUGCCUUGACAGGGCAGAGGUCACUGGUUCGAAUCCAGUAGGACGCA